rnacentral:misc_RNA from 1 species
AAGUCGUAACAAGGUCUCCGUAGGUGAACCUGCGGAGGGAUCAUUAACACGAAAAUCCAUCGUCCUACACCCGCGAAAUGUUCUGUCCCAGAUCUUCGACCAAAUGAAAGCCGCUGAGGUUUAAUCGGCUGCCGUUAACCGGAUAACUUACAACUUCUGGUUCGGUGCCUUGGCGGCCUGCAUAUUAUGUCUCCACUAGGGACUGUAUGAAAGGUUUCGGAUCUGUCGCUGCCGUGUCUCACAACUUAACCCUAACUGAGCGUGCUAAAAUUCCGACUCGUGCAGCCAGGUGGUAACUCCCCUGAGAAACGAAGGAAGUAAAAAAACAAAACACAAUGUACAACUCUUAACAACGGAUGUCUUGGUUCUC